rnacentral:rRNA from 1 species
CUGGAGGACCGAACCCACUCCCGUUGAAAAGGUAGGGGAUGACUUGUGGAUCGGAGUGAAAGGCUAAUCAAGCUCGGAGAUAGCUGGUUCUCCUCGAAAGCUAUUUAGGUAGCGCCUCAUGUAUCACUCUGGGGGGUAGAGCACUGUUUCGGCUAGGGGGUCAUCCCGACUUACCAAACCGAUGCAAACUCCGAAUACCCAGAAGUGCCGAGCAUGGGAGACACACGGCGGGUGCUAACGUCCGUCGUGAAAAGGGAAACAACCCAGACCGCCAGCUAAGGUCCCAAAGUUGUGGUUAAGUGGUAAACGAUGUGGGAAGGCUUAGACAGCUAGGAGGUUGGCUUAGAAGCAGCCAUCCUUUAAAGAAAGCGUAAUAGCUCACUAGUCGAGUCGGCCUGCGCGGAAGAUGUAACGGGGCUCAAACCACACACCGAAGCUGCGGGUGUCACGUAAGUGACGCGGUAGAGGAGCGUUCUGUAAGCCUGUGAAGGUGAGUUGAGAAGCUUGCUGGAGGUAUCAGAAGUGCGAAUGCUGACAUGAGUAACGACAAUGGGUGUGAAAAACACCCACGCCGAAAGACCAAGGGUUCCUGCGCAACGUUAAUCGACGCAGGGUUAGUCGGUUCCUAAGGCGAGGCUGAAAAGCGUAGUCGAUGGGAAACAGGUUAAUAUUCCUGUACUUCUGGUUACUGCGAUGGAGGGACGGAGAAGGCUAGGCCAGCUUGGCGUUGGUUGUCCAAGUUUAAGGUGGUAGGCUGAAAUCUUAGGUAAAUCCGGGGUUUCAAGGCCGAGAGCUGAUGACGAGUCGUCUUUUAGAUGACGAAGUGGUUGAUGCCAUGCUUCCAAGAAAAGCUUCUAAGCUUCAGGUAACCAGGAACCGUACCCCAAACCGACACAGGUGGUCGGGUAGAGAAUACCAAGGCGCUUGAGAGAACUCGGGUGAAGGAACUAGGCAAAAUGGCACCGUAACUUCGGGAGAAGGUGCGCCGGCUAGGGUGAAGGAUUUACUCCGUAAGCUCUGGCUGGUCGAAGAUACCAGGCCGCUGCGACUGUUUAUUAAAAACACAGCACUCUGCAAACACGAAAGUGGACGUAUAGGGUGUGACGCCUGCCCGGUGCCGGAAGGUUAAUUGAUGGGGUUAGCGCAAGCGAAGCUCUUGAUCGAAGCCCCGGUAAACGGCGGCCGUAACUAUAACGGUCCUAAGGUAGCGAAAUUCCUUGUCGGGUAAGUUCCGACCUGCACGAAUGGCGUAACGAUGGCGGCGCUGUCUCCACCCGAGACUCAGUGAAAUUGAAAUCGCUGUGAAGAUGCAGUGUAUCCGCGGCUAGACGGAAAGACCCCGUGAACCUUUACUGUAGCUUUGCACUGGACUUUGAGCCUGCUUGUGUAGGAUAGGUGGGAGGCUUUGAAGCGUGGACGCCAGUUCGCGUGGAGCCAUCCUUGAAAUACCACCCUGGCAUGCUUGAGGUUCUAACUCUGGUCCGUGAUCCGGAUCGAGGACAGUGUAUGGUGGGCAGUUUGACUGGGGCGGUCUCCUCCUAAAGAGUAACGGAGGAGUACGAAGGUGCGCUCAGACCGGUCGGAAAUCGGUCGCAGAGUAUAAAGGCAAAAGCGCGCUUGACUGCGAGACAGACACGUCGAGCAGGUACGAAAGUAGGUCUUAGUGAUCCGGUGGUUCUGUAUGGAAGGGCCAUCGCUCAACGGAUAAAAGGUACUCCGGGGAUAACAGGCUGAUACCGCCCAAGAGUUCAUAUCGACGGCGGUGUUUGGCACCUCGAUGUCGGCUCAUCACAUCCUGGGGCUGAAGCCGGUCCCAAGGGUAUGGCUGUUCGCCAUUUAAAGUGGUACGCGAGCUGGGUUUAGAACGUCGUGAGACAGUUCGGUCCCUAUCUGCCGUGGACGUUUGAGAUUUGAGAGGGGCUGCUCCUAGUACGAGAGGACCGGAGUGGACGAACCUCUGGUGUUCCGGUUGUCACGCCAGUGGCAUUGCCGGGUAGCUAUGUUCGGAAAAGAUAACCGCUGAAAGCAUCUAAGCGGGAAACUUGCCUCAAGAUGAGAUCUCACUGGGAACUUGAUUCCCCUGAAGGGCCGUCGAAGACUACGACGUUGAUAGGCUGGGUGUGUAAGCGUUGUGAGGCGUUGAGCUAACCAGUACUAAUUGCCCGUGAGGCUUGACCAU